rnacentral:rRNA from 1 species
CCUACGGGUGGCAGCAGUGAGGAAUAUUGGUCAAUGGGCGAGAGCCUGAACCAGCCAAGUCGCGUGAGGGAGUACUGUCCUAUGGGUUGUAAACCUCUUUUGUCGGGGAGCAAAAGCCGGACGGGUCCGGCUGUGAGAGUACCCGAAGAAAAAGCAUCGGCUAACUCCGUGCCAGCAGCCGCGGUAAUACGGAGGAUGCGAGCGUUAUCGGGAUUUAUGGGGUUUAAGGGGUGCGCAGGCGGAUUUUUUAGUCUGCGGUAAAAUCGUGGGGCUCAACCCCAUCCAGCCGUUGAAACUGGGGAUCUAGAGUGUGCGAGAGGUAUGCGGAAUGCGUGGUGUAGCGGUGAAAUGCAUAGAUAUCACGCAGAACCCCGAUUGCGAAGGCAGCAUACCGGUGCACAACUGACGCUCAGGCACGAAAGCGUGGGUAUCGAACAGGAUUAGAUACCCGAGUAGUC